rnacentral:misc_RNA from 1 species
AUCAACAUCCCCUCGUUUGCAUUUGCUCAUGGAUGACCAAAGAUUCAUACAAACACCGACAAUGCUAACUUAUAUACACUAUCCAAUACUCUGAUGAAGAUAAUUUUACCACGAACUAUGAAAAUACUUUCAUAUUAGGUCCAUCUUCAACACCCACCACUCGCAGGUUCUAUUGAACUCAGAAGCCCAUUACCCCUCAGCUGCAUGCAGUGCUCUUCAGCAUCAGCCUGAGCACAAAUAAUCACCACUGACAAGCCAUUGUAAUGUGCUUCUUGCAUUAUGUUAACUGCAUUAUCAAGAGUCAUUCCAGGGAUAACCUUCAUCA